GCUCCCGUCCGGAAGUACGCUCAACCGCACCUCUGGGAGAAAGCUGUGCGCUAGUGUUUUGUGCUUGUCCUGGUUAGACUUCGUGAGAAGAAUGAGGCACAAUGUAAACCACUUCCCCAAGUAACAAGACUGCAUGCAGCGCCAUGUGGGAUCUCAGUUCUCAGACCAGGGCUUAAACUUGGGCUGCAGUGGUGAAAGAGCUGAAUCUUAACCGUUGGACUGCCAAGGAAUUCCCUAGAUUCAAAAUCUUUCUUUUGAAAAUUGUUCCCGGAUGUCACCUCAGUGCCCCCAGAAACACUGGCAGGAAAUCAUCUCUUCACAGAAUCACCACUAUUGUCUCAAAAAGACGAAGCUGCAGAGCCCAUUCUUGAGUGUAUGUGCAGUUACAAGAACUUCUCUAGGAAACAUACUCUGAGGUGGAAUAUAGCCGAAAGUAUAACUAAUCCCAUGUGUCCAUCCCCUCGCUUCACUUCAUCAUAGACUUGUUUCAUCUUCUUCUUCUCCCUUCUUAUGUUUUGUUGCUGGAGUAUUUUAAAGCAAGUCUCAGACAUCAUUCCCUUCACCUCUAAACACUUCAGCAUGCUACUCAAAAAGAAAUAGCCAAGUAUUUUCUUACAUAACCACAAUGCCAUUAUCACAUCUAACAAAAUUCAGAGUAAUUCCUUCAUAUCAUUCAAUUACCAAGUCAUACUCAAAUUUCCUCUAUUAUAUAAAAAUAUUCUUUUUGUAAUUACUGUUUAGAAUCAGAUCAAACAAGAGCCCUUUCAUUUGGUUAUGUCUCUUGUGUUUCUUAUAAGUCUUUUAAGUCUUAUGUUUCCCUUAAUCUAGAACAGUCCCCUCCCCUUUUAUUCUUUCUUUCAUUGACUUGAUGAAAUUAGAGUCCAAUGUAAGAUCCUUCCUUUGAGAUCUGGUGUAUUGCUUCCUUGUGGACUGCAUCCUUUAUGCUCAGUAUUUCCUGUGGACUAGAGAUCAGUUUUAAAGCCUUGAUUAUAUUAUGGUUCAUACAUUUUUUUUUUUUUCCCUUGAGAAUCCAUCCUAAAUGGUACUGUGUACUUUCUCCAUCCCCUUCAGGAAGCAUGUAAUGUGUGUUAUCUCAUUUUUUGCGACACUAAGAUUGUUCCUUGUAGAUGCAAACUAUUACAUUUAGAAUGGAUAGGCAGUGAAGUCCUACUGUACAGCACAGGAAACUAUAUCCAGUCUCUUGGGGUAAUCCAUGAUGGAAGACAGUCUAAGAAAGAUUAUAUAUAUUUAUGUAUUUCAUUAUAUAUGUUUCAUACAUAUAUAUGUAUGACUGGCUCACUCUGCUAUACAGCAGAAAUCACAGCAUUAUAAAUCAAUUAUACUUUAGAGAAGAUAAAUAAAAAAUACUAGAUAACAGUAAAAAAAAUAAAGAUUGA
rnacentral:lncRNA from 1 species